UGAGGGGGGCUGCUCCUAGUACGAGAGGACCGGAGUGGACGCAUCACUGGUGUUCGGGUUGUCAUGCCAAUGGCACUGCCCGGUAGCUAAAUGCGGAAGAGAUAAGUGCUGAAAGCAUCUAAGCACGAAACUUGCCCCGAGAUGAGUUCUCCCUGACUCCUUGAGAGUCCUGAAGGAACGUUGAAGACGACGACGUUGAUAGGCCGGGUGUGUAAGCGCAGCGAUGCGUUGAGCUAACCGGCACUAAUGAACCGUGAGGCUUAACCUUACAACGCCGAAGCUGUU
rnacentral:rRNA from 1 species